AAUUCUGUUCAGGAGGUCACAUUUCAGGCUCUCCACAUCAUGUGUGACUGACUUUUACGUUAUAACAACGAUCACACACUAGGAAUGUUAUAAAGCGCCUAUAUAGGAGAUUCUUUUGUAUAUUAUCUGACUUUAUAAACUCCAACAACAAUGUGCUUCUAUUUUUUUUCAGGCUAAAUCUACCCAAGACACUGGUUGUCAGACUGAUUUAGCUGCAAGAAUGCACUUGUCCAGGCUGAUGUGAAACCUUCCCUGUAGCAAAGCCAGUCAGAAUGGAGUUCACAGCCGCAGUGUGUCUGGUGACCCACGGUGACCAUGAUGAAAAUUCAUCUUCCAGAAAGUCCCAGAGCGUCCAGACCCCCUGAAAAGACCAAGAUGUAAGGUGUCUGCUGUUGAUUCCAGCUUCCACCUCAGUGACAGUGCAAGCUCAGUGAACUGUUCAAGGUAAUAAAUAAAAAUUAAAACAUUUCAGAUUUUUUAAGAUAUUAACAAUUAAAUAAGUAUGUGAUUACAUCAUGACGGGGGCUACUGAUUCUGCCCCUGUGACACUUGGUGGUGACGUGUGAGCUGAUUCACCUGGAAAACAACUUUUACAUUAAAUAUUUUGUUUUUGCUAUCAAAAGUAAAUUAACUAAUAACCUGCAUUAUUGCAGGCCACUCAGCAAAAUAUGGACUCUACACCAUGAGGCAUGCACACAUUAAUAUUCUAUAAGAGCACAUAAGGUGAGCAACACCACAUAUUAUUGUACACUGUCCUGAAUUUGUUUUCUUUCUGCAUCUCAUUAGCCUGGCUGAUCACCUGAUAACUCCUGUCAUCUGGUUAUGACAGCAUGAGGAUGUCCUCACACACCUGUAACCUAUCAGCUCAUCUGGCAGAAUAGAGAGAGAAGAGACAACACCACAUCUCCUGUUCCUGGAAAGCCUUCAGCCAUCCUUUGAUGACUGAGAACCUCCAUCAGCUCUGUCUCCUGUCUGCCUACAAUUAUUAUAAUAAAUAUUGUGUUUGACAAGUU